AACGUGCCCAGUAAUGGGGGAUAGCCCGGCGAAAGCCGGAUUAAUACCGCAUACGACCUAAGGGUGAAAGCGGGGGAUCGCAAGACCUCGCGUUAUUGGAGCGGCCGAUAUCAGAUUAGCUUGUUGGCGGGGUAAAAGCCCACCAAGGCGACGAUCUGUAGCUGGUCUGAGAGGACGACCAGCCACACUGGGACUGAGACACGGCCCAGACUCCUACGGGAGGCAGCAGUGGGGAAUUUUGGACAAUGGGCGGAAGCCUGAUCCAGCCAUGCCGCGUGUGG
rnacentral:rRNA from 1 species